rnacentral:rRNA from 1 species
CAAACUUUGCAAUACACGAAAGUGUGACAGGGCUAUCCCGAGUGCCGUCCGCUGAGGAUGGCUUUUACCCAGUCUAGAACGCUGGGGGAAUAAGGAGAGGGCAAGUCUGGUGUCAGCCGCCGCGGUAAUACCAGCUCUCCGAGUGGUGUGGAUGUUUAUUGGGCCUAAAGCAUCCGUAGCUGGCCAAGUUAGUCCCUUGUUAAACCCACCGAAUUAAUCGUUGGCGUGCGGGGGAUACUGCUCGGCUAGGGGACGAGAGAGGCAGACGGUAUUUUCGGGGUAGGGGUGAAAUCCUAUAAUCCCGGGAAGACCACCAGUGGCGAAGGCUGUCUGCUAGAACGCGCCCGACGGUGAGGGAUGAAAGCUGGGGGAGCGA